AUGGGGGGAAGGCAGCAGAGGUCAAAGUGCACUGGCUACCUUGCUCUUCCUGUGGCAGAGUCUGGGAGGACACCUGGGAGCCGGCCAGCAAAUUCGCCUGAUGACCAAUACUGUUGUACUAUUUGUUUUGUAUAUAUUUGUCAAUAAUUAAAUUCACUAUUGUUACAUUUUAUGAUUUGUCUGUCAAUCAAUGACUGCACUGAAUAAUUAAUGUGUCAUGACUUUGUGCUGUAUUUGAUGGGAAAAGUGAGAUAGCUGAAAGUUGCAUGUAGUGACAGUCAAGUCAAGUCACCUUUAUUUAUAUAGCACUUUUUAUAAUACAGAUUGUUUCAAAGCAGCUUCACAGUGAUAACAUGAAAAUAAUACAACAAAGUUUCUUUCUAGAAGAAAAUUACAUCCUCGUCCACCUUAAGGCAGAUUAGCAAGCCAAACUAAGCAACUAAGCAAGCCAAAAGCCAAGGCAACCAGAACAAGUACCAAAUUGGCAUUAUACUAACUGAUCAU
ensembl:lncRNA